AGUGAACGCUGGCGGCAGGCCUAACACAUGCAAGUCGAGCGGCAGCGGGUCCUUCGGGAUGCCGGCGAGCGGCGGACGGGUGAGGAAUACAUCGGAAUCUGCCCUGUCGUGGGGGAUAACCUAGGGAAACUUAGGCUAAUACCGCAUACGACCUACGGGUGAAAGCGGGGGAUCGCAAGACCUCGCGCGGCAGGAUGAGCCGAUGUCCGAUUAGCUAGUUGGCGGGGUAAAGGCCCACCAAGGCGACGAUCGGUAGCUGGUCUGAGAGGAUGAUCAGCCACACUGGGACUGAGACACGGCCCAGACUCCUACGGGAGGCAGCAGUGGGGAAUAUUGGACAAUGGGCGCAAGCCUGAUCCAGCCAUGCCGCGUGGGUGAAGAAGGCCUUCGGGUUGUAAAGCCCUUUUGUCCGGGAAGAAAUCGUCUGGGCUAAUACCCCGGGCGGAUGACGGUACCGGAAGAAUAAGCACCGGCUAACUUCGUG
rnacentral:rRNA from 1 species